UGUUUGUAAACAACGCGCGGCAUUGUGGGAAAUAGGAAGGUACUAAAGACGCGAUGUACUAAACACUGAUUUGACCUGAUUCAAAUUUGUCUGUAAAUGUUCCAAACAAUUGAAUUUUUGUAUAGCAUAUGCCUCGAAGUCAUAAAGUCUGUACAUAAGUAAUUUAAAAUACUCAAUAUUACCAUUUAAUUAAAAAUUAAAACGUCAGGUAAAUAUCAGGUCUCUAGUAUAUCCCGUUUUUAGUGUGCCCCUUCGAGUCGACGUCGGACACAUGUUUGCCAUGGUUUACAAACUGAAAAUAGAAUGAUUUGUGAAGUUGAACAUUUUCUCACAAAGAAUCCGUUUGUAGACAUGUACACUCAUUUAAUCUGCAGAUACGAAGUACUUUGUCACUUCUCUGGAACAUUAUUCUAAGCAGAAUUAUCCCGAUUCAUAUAUUCUAAGAAUCUUGUGUGAAUUGUUUACGAGGAAAUUCUGACUGUCACAUUAACAAGGAUGAACACUCUUGACUCUGCUUCGGAUUCCCCAGUGAUAAUUGUAUCGAGUGAUGAAAGAGCUGACGGCGACAUUUUAAUGUAUGAUUGGCUUGGACCAUUGGAAUGAAGUCAUUUCAUGGUGCCACCACUUGGGAUGGUAUUAGCUGCAAAUAUAGACUUGUACUCAGCACUUAUUGCCUUUAAGAAGUAUGAGAUCCAUUUUGUGCUAACACCUACCGUGACACAGAAUCUUGGUUUAUGCAGUCUCAUAGGAGUAACCUGUCUAAAGCAUUUAGCAAUGGGAUUGGAACCUGCGACGUGUGACUCAUCUGAAUACUGAAUUUUGAUACCAAGCAUGACCAUGAUUUGCCAGAAGAUCAUCUGUUUGGAUGUGACAUGGAAUAAACAGCAUAGUGAAAAUAAGUCAAGUUUUGGUUUGUGAAGACAAUUUUUAAACACACUGUAUCAUUUUUAAAUUUUAAUUUGACAACAUAAAUCCACAAAUAUGAACAUAUCAAUUGCUCUCAGUUUUUCAAGUGAAAUAGUUUUUGUAACAGAAAUACAUGUACCAGUAAUUACAUUGGAAUAAAUGUUAUUUUUAAAUAUAAUAAUAUUUUGUUUGUGUAGCAUGUUGACCUCUUUAUUAAGGUCUUCCCUUUCAAAGUUUAGACUUACUUAUUCUAAUGAUUAAGAUAGAUCCUCUGUCUUCAGCAGGAAUAUAAGAUCUUGUAAUACAU